UACGUAGGUGGCAAGCGUUGUCCGGAAUUACUGGGCGUAAAGCGUGCGCAGGCGGUUGUGCAAGACCGAUGUGAAAUCCCCGGGCUCAACCUGGGAAUGGCAUUGGUGACUGCACGGCUAGAGUGUGUCAGAGGGGGGUAGAAUUCCACGUGUAGCAGUGAAAUGCGUAGAGAUGUGGAGGAAUACCGAUGGCGAAGGCAGCCCCCUGGGAUAACACU
rnacentral:rRNA from 1 species